rnacentral:ncRNA from 1 species
GGCUGUACCUCGGGGUGGUGGCGAUGCAGUCACCUGAGAUGUCCGUCAGGCGGACGAACCCGUUGAACCUGAACCGGUUAAUACCGGCGGAGGGAAGGUGUGGACCCCGACA